GUCUGACCUCGGAUCAG
rnacentral:rRNA from 1 species